GGUUAAGUGACUAAGCGUAUACGGUGGAUGCCUUGGCAGUCAGAGGCGAUGAAGGACGUAGUAACUUGCGAAAAGCGUUGGCGAGCUAGUAACAAGCAUUUGAGCUAACGAUGUCCGAAUGGGGAAACCCACUCACAUAAGUGAGUAUCAUAUACUGAAUACAUAGGUAUAUGAGGCAAACCCGGGGAACUGAAACAUCUAAGUACCCGGAGGAACAGAAAUCAACCGAGAUUCCCCUAGUAGCGGCGAGCGAACGGGGAUUAGCCCUUAAGUCUAUGGGGUGUUAGUGGAAUGAGUUGGAAAGCUCAGCGGCACAGGGUGAUAGCCCCGUACAUGAAAACUAACCAUAGAUGAAAACGAGUAGGACGGGACACGUGACAUCUUGUCUGAACAUGGGGGGACCAUCCUCCAAGGCUAAAUACUCCUGACUGACCGAUAGUGAACCAGUACCGUGAGGGAAAGGCGAAAAGAACCCCUGUGAGGGGAGUGAAAUAGAACCUGAAACCGUAUACGUACAAGCAGUGGGAGCGGUUCCAUUCUUCGGAAUAAGAGACCGUGACUGCGUACCUUUUGUAUAAUGGGUCAGCGACUUACAUUUUGUAGCGAGGUUAAGCGAAUAGCGGAGCCGUAGGGAAACCGAGUGUUAACUGCGCGUAUCUUUAAUUAGAGAAGUUGCAAGGUGUAGACCCGAAACCCGGUGAUCUAUC
rnacentral:ncRNA from 1 species